UAGUCCACGCUGUAAACGAUGAUUACUAGAUGUUCGGACUUCGGUCUGAGUGUCCAAGCGAAAGCGAUAAGUAAUCCACCUGGGGAGUACGUUCGCAAGAAUGAAACUCAAAGGAAUUGACGGGGGCCCGCACAAGCGGUGGAGCAUGUGGUUUAAUUUGAUGAUAAGCGAGGAACCUUACCUGGGCUACAAUGCCUCUGCUACACCCUGAAAGGGGUGGUUCCUUCGGGACAGAGUGCAAGGUGCUGCAUGGUUGUCGUCAGCUCGUGCCGUGAGGUGUUGGGUUAAGUCCCGCAACGAGCGCAACCCCUAUUUUCAGUUGCCAGCACAUAAUGGUGGGGACUCUGGAAAGACUGCCGGCGUAAGCCGCGAGGAAGGUGGGGACGACGUCAAAUCAUCAUGGCCUUUAUGCCUAGGGCUACACACGUGCUACAAUGGCGGGUACAGAGGGUCGCGAAGCCGCGAGGUGGAGCCAAUCCCAGAAAGCCCGUCCCAGUUCGGAUUGGAGU
rnacentral:rRNA from 1 species